rnacentral:lncRNA from 1 species
AAAUUGUAUCUUUGUGGGGCUUUAUUUGGCAUUUUCCCUGCUAUCAGCGAGAUUGAGCAUUUCUUUUUAUGUUCAAGAUGCAUUUUUAUUUCCUUGUUUGCAUCAUUUCCCUCAUUAAUGGAUGAUGGAUAAAGUACUGCUAAGGAGAAAGAGGGUGUUUGGGGGUCACAGCCUAAAUGUUUCCGAGUUUGACAUUGGAGCAUGCCUCCCUCGUGUCAUUACCAGGACGAGAGUACUUAGCAGUGUGGGUCAUGAGUGAGCAGGAGACCCAUCGACAGAAGGGAGGGUAUGGCAUUCUCAGCUGAAGCAACGGCGAGCAAAAACGCAGGACUUUGCUGGUCCAUGGCUUGUUUGGAAAUGGAUCACGUCUGUAUGACAGGACCACAGGUGCCAGGAGGAAGCAGAGGGGACUAGACAGCUAGUGUUAUGAGGACAGUUAGAUUGUGCAGGGCCUUGAAUGCCAGGGCAAGGGCUUUGGACCUUGUUGGGCUGGUUGCGGGCAACAACAGUAAGUUGCUGAGUAGAAAAUCAGUAUCUCCUUUGCCCCACUGUUAGUGCCAUGUGCACCACUGUGUCCCGGACAUAAAAUACACGUUCAUAUUAACAAGAGAACAUGUUAACAGUCAGUCACUAAAAAUGGCAUUAGCCGCAGAUGAUCCUGGAGAGUCACGGAUGGCUCAUGGUUUACAGGAGUCCGCAGGGUGAGGUCCAAUUUCUGGCCUUUCAGCAGUCCUCCCGGGGCCCAGUUCCACUCCCCAACCUGCUCUGAUAGAUCGUGUCCUCUGGAUGGAGACUCGAGACAAGGGGAAUGAAAACUGCUGUCACCCCCAACCUGGGAGCGAGGAGAGGGCAGAGAGGCUGACUCUAGUGCACAUUUCUUCCUAAGACUGAUGCACUAGGUAGCAGAAAAAGGAAAGAGGAGAAAGAGAAAUUAGGCCAACUGAAGCCCAGAAAAGUUAGAGGUUUCCACAUCUCAAGAUUUUCAUUUCCUGCUCAUUCUUAUGUAGAUGAAGUCCAAAACUCAAUGAUAUUUCCUAUUUCUAUAGAUAUGCAGAGCAUGCCACUAAGAAAUGGAGGGGGUGACCUUUAAUAUAUUUCAAGCUUAAAUAUAAAUUGUUUUUUAAUUGACUCCUGCUUUGAGUGAUUUCUGUGUCACGUGCUCCUUGUUAGCACCAGUGGCCUGGGCUGAGAAAUGUGUGUUGACUUCUUACUACAAGCAGGGCCUCUGGCACCGGAGGAGGUUCUCUCAUCUUUUCUGACCCCCACAUAUUCACUCACUGUGCCUCUGACAGAGAGGAAAGAAACUUUCGCUCCUUGUUUCAGAGGAUUACAUGUGAAAAUAUUUUAUGAGCUUGACUUUUUCAUGUAAAAUACAAGCUAUGUGACAUUUAAAUCAGCUAGUGAAAAUGAACAAGUUUCAUUUAUUGAGAGCCUAGGAUCAUAGAAGUUGAUUUUAUUGAACCAAAUUAUGAGAACAAAUGUGCAAGCAGAAACACACAAGACAAUCUGGAUAAUUCUGCUUUACCCUUGAACAUUCUGAUGUGUGUGUCUGAGUGAUUUUGUGUGUGUGUGAGAGUGUGUGUGUGGGUGUGUGAGUGUGUGCGUCUGUAUGUCUGAAGAAGCACAGAGCAGAAGCCAGCCGUUCAGUUGCCCCCCCAUCCCAGGGUUGCAUCUUUGCUUUGCGUUCUUCAUUAUCCUCCUCGUUCUAAGGAGACAGGUGUCCACACUCGUGCUUUGCGAGAGACAAUUACAUCGACUCCCAGGGAUGCUCAGAGCUCGAGGUCCUCACGGCUUUCACAGCUGAUGGUGAGGACUCCCUGGGUGGAUGAGUCUGUGAGAAAUUGGCCUUCAAUAUCAAAAUAAUGAAUAGGCUUUAAUGUGAUUCUACAAAAUCAUUCAACCAGGAAAAGUUGGCUCAGAUGUGAGAAGAGUUUUCAAUGAGUUCUCAUUUACAUAUAGUUUUCCAACUGCAUUUUUUUUAAGAAUUCAGAACUACUAGUGGCUUGCCCAACAAUUGAAUUAAAAACUAUUCCCUCAUUAAUUUUAGUACUCUGUAUCAACCAAGCAAACAUCAGUCUUCCUACACUUUAUAACUUUCUUCCAGGCCGUAAUCUCAGAUUAUCAGAUGAAGAAAAAUCAAAGACUUGGCUAUUCCGUCACUGAGCACUGAACUCUCAGUAAUCACAGUCAAAGUAACCUACGCAUGAUAAACAAUCUCGGAAUGGUUGUUUGGUUUCCCGAGGUUCCACAGUGGCGAGUACCUUCCGUCUGAAUCACAUACCCUCCUUGUAGUGUGCUACGCCUUGGGAUGAAAUUUUCAACAAGACCCCGACUUUUCUUGCGUACGUUUUAUUCCUUGUGAGCACAGUAUUCUCUUGUACACUGUACACAGUUUUGCUAUUGUCCAGAGCAAUGGAAGGGAAAAUUGAUGUCCAUUUUGGGGUGAAAAUCUAAAAGGCCAUCCUCCCUACCCUCACUGUUACUGGGCUCCCCUUCCCAUUGACCUUGCACCCUCUACUCCGGCUGCUUUUAUUCUAAAUGUCUUCUUCCUUCUCUAUUGAGCUUUUAAAGCAGACAUAUAGACAAACACCCAAAC